GAUGAACGCUGGCGGCGUGCCUAAUACAUGCAAGUCGAGCGAACAGACGAGGAGCUUGCUCCUUCGACGUUAGCGGCGGACGGGUGAGUAACACGUAGGUAACCUACCUAUAAGACUGGGAUAACUUCGGGAAACCGGAGCUAAUACCGGAUAAUAUUUCGAACCGCAUGGUUCGAUAGUGAAAGAUGGCUUUGCUAUCACUUAUAGAUGGACCUGCGCCGUAUUAGCUAGUUGGUAAGGUAACGGCUUACCAAGGCAACGAUACGUAGCCGACCUGAGAGGGUGAUCGGCCACACUGGAACUGAGACACGGUCCAGACUCCUACGGGAGGCAGCAGUAGGGAAUCUUCCGCAAUGGGCGAAAGCCUGACGGAGCAACGCCGCGUGAGUGAUGAAGGUCCUCGGAUCGUAAAACUCUGUUAUUAGGGAAGAACAAGCGUGUAAGUAACUGUGCACGUCUUGACGGUACCUAAUCAGAAAGCCACGGCUAACUACGUG
rnacentral:rRNA from 1 species